rnacentral:lncRNA from 1 species
CCUCCCGCAUUUCAAAUCUUUUAUAAAAUCCUGGGCAACCCAAAUUUUUUUUUUUUGGAUUUUUUGACAUCUUCAACUGUAAUUGAUGAUCAGUCGGAGCAAUAAAGGAGCAAGUCAUGGGGCACCAAUGUCUCCGGCCAAUCGGUGUCGACUAGCGGCAGCGUGGGCUCUCCUACAACCGGGAGUGAGGCGAUUGGCAACACUCCCCCAGUGAUAAGACUUCUAUUACACUUGAUCAUGUAGAUGCUCAUGCUGGUGAUGUUGCAUCUCAAGCUACUUAUAUGUGAGUGCUUAAUUUGCUGUGUUUUUUGAGGAUUUUAUUGCAGGGAAUCGAGUGUGAUUGAUUUGCUUUUACAAUUGAGACCGGAUUCUAUGGUGAUUUGAUUAUAUAUUUUGAUUUUGGAGCAAUUUUCUGAUCAUUGGAUGGUAAUUAUUGAAUUUAGAAAAGUGAUUUUUUUUUUGUGUUUGUUUUUGUGUUUGGACUAAUUACUACCGUUUGAGCAUGAAUUCUGCUAACUGUGUGUAUUAAGUGUUUUACUAUAUUCUUAGUUUUGUUGUGAUGAGACAGUGAAAAAAAAGGGGUCAACAAGCAGUCAGAGGGGAUAAGAAUUGCAGGGGACUCCGCCAAUCUAACAUGAAAGGUUUGUGCCUUUGUCAUUCUAUGUUGUUGCGAUAGUAAUCUUCUGCGCAUGCUGUUUGAUGUAUAGUUGAUGUUUAACCAAGAGUGCUUGUACUGAUCAAUGGGUGCAUAGUGAACUGGUCUAUGUCAUAACAAUGUUAUAUUUUGGGCUCUAUAGUUCAAGUUGCCUAUUAGAAAAAUUGUUAAGUCUCUGCUCAAAAAUGAAAUCUGAUUAUAUUGUCAUGUGAUUAUGGUUCUUUAGCUAAAAUGGUUGGUUGUUUGGCGUCCACUCACAUCCAUUCCUCCGAUCCUGUCGGUGCCAAUUUUUCCAAGGUCAAACCCUUAUUCUUUUUUACUGAUUGUUUUGGUCAAUUUUGUUUAUUAUUUUUAGGGUUUUGAUUAUUUUUUGUGUUUGCUUUGUAAUUUGAUUUGGGUUGUGUGAAAAUUAGCUUUCUUGAUCUUGAUACUUGAGGGUUUUGUUUAAUAUGAUCAAAUUGAUUGAAGUGCUUUGUGAUAG